CCUACGGGAGGCAGCAGUGAGGAAUAUUGGUCAAUGGACGAGAGUCUGAACCAGCCAAGUAGCGUGAAGGAUGACUGCCCUAUGGGUUGUAAACUUCUUUUAUAUGGGAAUAAAACGUUCCACGUGUGGGAUUUUGUAUGUACCAUAUGAAUAAGGAACGGCUAACUCCGUGCCAGCAGCCGCGGUAAUACGGAGGAUCCGAGCGUUAUCCGGAUUUAUUGGGUUUAAAGGGAGCGUAGGUGGAUUGUUAAGUCAGUUGUGAAAGUUUGCGGCUCAACCGUAAAAUUGCAGUUGAAACUGGCAGUCUUGAGUACAGUAGAGGUGGGCGGAAUUCGUGGUGUAGCGGUGAAAUGCUUAGAUAUCACGAAGAACUCCGAUUGCGAAGGCAGUUCACUGGACUGCAACUGACACUGAGGCUCGAAAGUGUGGGUAUCAAACAGGAUUAGAUACCCUAGUAGUC
rnacentral:rRNA from 1 species